rnacentral:rRNA from 1 species
GAUGAACGCUGGCGGCGUGCCUAAUACAUGCAAGUCGAGCGAACAGACGAGGAGCUUGCUCCUCUGACGUUAGCGGCGGACGGGUGAGUAACACGUGGAUAACCUACUUAUAAGACUGGGAUAACUUCGGGAAACCGGAGCUAAUACCGGAUAACAUGUUGAACCGCAUGGUUCAACAGUGAAAGACGGUUUUGCUGUCACUUAUAGAUGGAUCCGCGCCGCAUUAGCUAGUUGGUAAGGUAACGGCUUACCAAGGCAACGAUGCGUAGCCGACCUGAGAGGGUGAUCGGCCACACUGGAACUGAGACACGGUCCAGACUCCUACGGGAGGCAGCAGUAGGGAAUCUUCCGCAAUGGGCGAAAGCCUGACGGAGCAACGCCGCGUGAGUGAAGAAGGUCUUCGGAUCGUAAAACUCUGUUAUUAGGGAAGAACAAAUGUGUAAGUAACUAUGCACGUCUUGACGGUACCUAAUCAGAAAGCCACGGCUAACUACGUG